UACAGGGGGUGCAAACGUUGCUCGGAAUCAUUGGGCGUAAAGCGCACGUAGGCGGUUCGUUAUGUCGGAUGUGAAAGCCCUUGGCUUAACCGAGGAAGUGCAUCCGAAACUGGCGAGCUAGAGUACGAAAGAGGAUCGCGGAAUUCCCGGUGUAGAGGUGAAAUUCGUAGAUAUUGGAAAGAACACCGAUGGCGAAGGCACUUUACUGGGCUAUUACUAACACUCAGAGACGAAAGCUAGGGUAGCAAAUGGG
rnacentral:rRNA from 1 species